AUCCAGCUGAGGAGUCCCAAACAGGACGAAACGCGCGUCCUGGAU
rfam:Schistosoma curassoni strain Dakar, Senegal genome assembly, scaffold: SCTD_scaffold0003266